AUCUCGACCUGCUGCCUCCCUGCUAUUUUAGUACGUGCCUCCCACGCAGUUCUGCCAGUGCACCUCAGUUCUGGCCCGCUAUCCCAAUCCUGGGCCUCUCCGUCUGAUUUGUGCCAGUCUAGGCGGGGGGAUUUUGAUGUGGACAAAUGGGAAUUAAAUUGAGGCCACCGAGCUCAUUCUCACUUACAGCCAUAAUAAGAUUUCAGACGACGUCUCACCCAUGAGCUCUUCACAACAGCUGCCUGUUUCCACUUGGAAAAUGCUACCCACUAUCUCCUGCUGCCAUAUCUCCGGCAUGCUGCUGCCUGCCCAAUUGAAAGGAGCCUUUGUAAGUAGAAAUCCUUAUGGAAAAACAGAAGCAGCCGGAUAAAUACUGAAGUAUUUUCUUUUUCAUUUGAAUGUGCCAGAUCCAAAAUACUGAGGCCCACAUUCUGCUGUGGGUUCCCCAGGCACGAUGACAGCACUAAAGUCGGUUUAGUCUGGAUUUACACCUGUGUAACGGAGAUCAGAAUCUGUCCCUGACUGUUCAUUCCACCUUAGGUCUUAAGAGAGCCGCAUCAGCACUCCGCUUCGCUGAAGCAGCAUUCACAUGCUGUCUAUCAUGGGAAUCUCACUUGAAACUAAAGCAAGUCUAAAAAAUCACAAAGGAAAUUGUGCUUGGAGGAACUCCCUGAAUGUUGUCUCGCCUCCAGCUGACGGUGCCAAAUGCAAGGCCUUUAUUGGAUUUUAUUGCAUUGGAGACAGGGGAUCCAAACGGAAGAAACUUAUAGCAGGAGCUACCCAGAGAAGAAGAAAGAGAACAAGAAUUUUAAAGGGACAAUCUCAAGAUGAAGCUCAUGGCCUGAAUCUUCAGACAAUGCUACUAGCUCUUCCCGAGCCUGGGUCGACUCUUGAUCAGUGACUCACUGCUUCAUUGGGCCACCUCAGGUGUCCAGGCGUGGAUCUAGGACCAGACCUGCUUCUGCUGACAUGAUACUUUGAAUGAAACGACACUGAGAACACUGGACAAAAGUGCAACUGGAGAUGCAGCAAAGACAGAUGGUAGAGACACAUUUAUGGCUAUGAGCCGAAUUCUAUAGGCUUAAUUGGCCUUUUUCCAGACUGCAGCUCUGGAUGCAUUCCUCCUUUGACCAUUAUUCCAUGGCUCUGCUUUUAAUUGGUUCUUCUGUGUGAGCCCAGAUGGGUAUGAAUGGCAAUAAUCUUCAGGGCGGUUUACUGGGACACAAGCAGAGUACUAACAAGCAGUAUAUGCAGUCCCUGGGCUUUGGUAAUAACCUAUAUGUAGCUUCACUAUACUGUACACAUACGCAAGGCCCUAUGCAGUGUACAGGCAUAUAGGGAUAUUCCAAGUGUAUCACAACUUAUUUGUCAGCACUUGGCAUUCCAGCCAAAGAUCUGCAGGCACAGCUGAACAAACCCUCCCCAACCCUCUGAAACAAAGGGAAGUAACUUCUAAGCACUGUGUAAACUUACCAACAGUGAUGGGAGAACCAUGACAAUUUCAGAGGUUCCUUUAGGAAAAACACCUCAUCAUUUGGAAUCUUACCUAUGGCCUUCUCUACUCUGGGGGUUUGGCCACUGGCAUAGUACACUGCUGUAGCUGUACCAGUGAAAGCCCUCACGUAGAUGCACUGCAUUGUAUAAACCCUGACUUGAACUGGGGCAACUUACCCCAAUUAAUGGUUUACCCCAGUUCUCUGCGCUAAGGGUUUGCAUUGCUGCAGCUACAUCGGGGUAACUGCACUGGUAGCUAAAACCAGAAUGCAGACAAGGCCUGCAUCUUCAAAUCUGAACCUCUGGGUUGCAAUUCACAUGGGGGAUAGCUCAGUGGUUUGCACAUUGGCUUGCUAAACCUAGGGUUGUGAG
ensembl:lncRNA